UAUAUAUAUAGAGUCAGGCUAUGGUGCAUGUAAAAGCACCAAGCACUUGGUGCUUGUAAAAUUUUUACCGUUAGAUCACGCCUUUAAUCAUUUUCACUCGUUAUAUUAUACUAUUCAACCAACUAACCACUAAACCCUAGGGGGCCCACAUCAUCCUAACUACACAUUCCUUAAUCCAAGGGCCGAAAACUUACAAGUACCAAUGAUUUGGUACUUUUAAAAGCCUAGGAGCUCAUAUAAUAAUAUAUAUUAUAUAUAUAUUAUAUAUAUAUAGAGAUCGAGAGGAGAGAAGGCGAAGGAGAGGAGAGAAGAGACGAGAUGGAGCAGAGAGAGAGAGAGAGAGUAUGGACUGUCUGUGCUCUAGGCAGCGCGGAGGCCUCCGUGUCCUGAGCUUUAGAUGAUGAAUUUUCAAAUCGACGAUCGGCUCCGUUAGACUUGAUCUAGCACAUUUGAAGUUUCUAUAAAAUAAUUUUUGCGAUUUUUUGUUAUCACUUACCUAGUGAUCGAAAGGAUUCAAAAUCCAUAAUUUUUAAUGGUUGAUAUCUGCCGUUUUCAAGUUUAACGGUAUAGAAGUAUUCAAAUCAGAUGAAAUUUUAAUACAAAAUUUUUUAUACUAUCUACAACAAAAUUAAUAUUUCUGAUCGAAAAUUUUAGUACUAUAUCACUACUUUUUAUAGGAUUUUUAUUUUCAGCCGUUAAAAAUUAUUGAUUUUGAAUCCUUUUGAUUGCUAGAUAAAUGAUAUCGAAAAAUUGCAAAAAUUAUUUUCUAGAAACUUCAAAUACGCCAGAUCAAGUUUAAUGGAGCCGAUCGUCGAUUCGGAAACUCCAUCAUCGAAAACGGCUCAGGAGCACGGAGGCCUCCGUGCUCCUGAGAGCACAGCAGCCCUGCUUAUAUAUAUAUGGGCUUUUUUUGCAAAUAGCCCCCUUACAAAUUUUUUUUUUUAAAUUGGCCCUGUCAAAAAUUUAUUUGCAAAAAUGGCCCUGGCCUCGCCACGUCAGCGCCACGUC
rnacentral:lncRNA from 1 species